rnacentral:rRNA from 1 species
GGGGGGGGGGGCCCUAUUACUGUCAAUGUCGAGCAGGACAGAAGGGAGCUUGCUCCCGGAUGUUAGCGGCGGACGGGUGAGUAACACGUGGGUAACCUGCCUGUAAGACUGGGAUAACUCCGGGAAACCGGAGCUAAUACCGGAUAGUUCCUUGAACCGCAUGGUUCAAGGAUGAAAGACGGUUUCGGCUGUCACUUACAGAUGGACCCGCGGCGCAUUAGCUAGUUGGUGGGGUAAUGGCUCACCAAGGCAACGAUGCGUAGCCGACCUGAGAGGGUGAUCGGCCACACUGGGACUGAGACACGGCCCAGACUCCUACGGGAGGCAGCAGUAGGGAAUCUUCCGCAAUGGACGAAAGUCUGACGGAGCAACGCCGCGUGAGUGAUGAAGGUUUUCGGAUCGUAAAGCUCUGUUGUUAGGGAAGAACAAGUGCGAGAGUAACUGCUCGCACCUUGACGGUACCUAACCAGAAAGCCACGGCUAACUACGUGCCAGCAGCCGCGGUAAUACGUAGGUGGCAAGCGUUGUCCGGAAUUAUUGGGCGUAAAGGGCUCGCAGGCGGUUUCUUAAGUCUGAUGUGAAAGCCCCCGGCUCAACCGGGGAGGGUCAUUGGAAACUGGGAAACUUGAGUGCAGAAGAGGAGAGUGGAAUUCCACGUGUAGCGGUGAAAUGCGUAGAGAUGUGGAGGAACACCAGUGGCGAAGGCGACUCUCUGGUCUGUAACUGACGCUGAGGAGCGAAAGCGUGGGGAGCGAACAGGAUUAGAUACCCUGGUAGUCCACGCCGUAAACGAUGAGUGC